AACGAACGCUGGCGGCAGGCCUAACACAUGCAAGUCGAGCGGACCUUUCGGGGUCAGCGGCGGACGGGUGAGUAACGCGUGGGAAUAUGCCCUUCUCUACGGAAUAGUCCUGGGAAACUGGGGGUAAUACCGUAUACGCCCUUUUGGGGAAAGAUUUAUCGGGGAAGGAUUAGCCCGCGUUGGAUUAGGUAGUUGGUGGGGUAAUGGCCUACCAAGCCGACGAUCCAUAGCUGGUUUGAGAGGAUGAUCAGCCACACUGGGACUGAGACACGGCCCAGACUCCUACGGGAGGCAGCAGUGGGGAAUGUUAGAAAGUGGGGGCAAUCAUGAUCUAGCCAUGCCGGGUGAGUGAUGAAAGCCUUAGGGUUGUAAAGCUCUUUCAGCUGGGAAGAUAAUGACGGUACCAGCAGAAGAAGCCCCGGCUAACUACGUG
rnacentral:rRNA from 1 species